rnacentral:rRNA from 1 species
ACGCACGCUGGCGGCGUGCUUCACACCUGCAAGUCGAACGGAAAGGCCCUGCUUGCAGGGUACUCGAGUGGCGAACGGGUGAGUAACACGUGGGUGAUCUGCCCUGCACUUCGGGAUAAGCCUGGGAAACUGGGUCUAAUACCGGAUAUGACCUUCCAUGUAGUGUGGGGGGUGGAAAGAUUUAUCGGUGUGGGAUGAGCCCGCGGCCUAUCAGCUUGUUGGUGGGGUAAUGGCCUACCAAGGCGUCGACGGGUAGCCGGCCUGAGAGGGUGGACGGCCACAUUGGGACUGAGAUACGGCCCAGACUCCUACGGGAGGCAGCAGUGGGGAAUAUUGCACAAUGGGCGGAAGCCUUAUGCAGCGACGCCGCGUGGGGGAUGACGGCCUUCGGGUUGUAAACCUCUUUCGACAGGGACGAAGCUUCGGUGACGGUACCUGUAGAAGAAGCACCGGCUAACUACGUG